AAUAAUUUAUAAUUUAAUAAUUACGAUUAACAUCCAACUGUAAUUUAAUUUCUUUUAAGUACCAUGCUAAUAGAACAAUUCAAUUGUACUUUUCGUUUAAAUCAUUUGGCUACUUUUGGCAUGGUUUCAUUGUUUUCACAGAUGUUACCCCAUCAUAAAAAUAUUAUAAAUAAAUCUAUCUUUUUGUGUUUCUCUUUUUACACACUUUUAUCAAUCUUGUAACUAUGUCAAAUGGUGAAUGGUUACUUCAUUAAGUGUACGAUAAAGAGAUUAAAGUGGUAUCUCCUCUCUUGUUUUUUUUUGUUUCUUUUAGCACUUAAAAAAAUGACAAGAGAGAGAAAGAGAGUAUCUCAUAUCCAAUAAUUGAUAGCUCAUGGUCUGGCUCGUUACACGUGACACGACUCUAAGCAGUCCUUUCGUAACGGGAGUGUGUGUUCUAACGUUAACGAUGAGUUGGGCGUGACGAGACGUAAUCUCUCGGUUAGAGUCUUGACGUUUGAUUGGCAAAGCAAACAGUGAGGAUACAUUCGUAUGCGUGGGUGUACAAAUAUCCACACGUAUAAAAUUUAUUAUAAAUGAAUAUAUAAUAAGCGUGUUUGCGUGUGUGCGAGUAUGAUAAAAAUAAAAAAAAUGUUCAAUAAGAAGAUGAUGGUGAAAAGGACGUAUCAUAAAUCAUAUGAAGAUCUUCAAGAUCAUCGGGAUCAUCGUUCUGCGUCACACAUCUCUUAAACCCACGCAAACAAUUUUCUGGUAAGGAAAGUUGAAGGAAGAUAAAAUGUCAACUAAACCAGGAAGAGAAUCCUACCAGAGUGGAAAUGAAAUGUAAGAAAUCCGUAUCAUUGCUGACAGAUUGUCAUAGAAAAUUAUUUAAAUCCUAACAAAGGUAGCACGCGUGCAUCCACAAUU
rnacentral:lncRNA from 1 species